GAUAGAGGCCUACCAUGGUGGUAACGGGUAACGGGGUGUUAGGGCACGACACCGGAGAGGGAGCCUGAGAAACGGCUACCACAUCCAAGGAUGGCAGCAGGCGCGCAAAUUACCCAAUCCCGACACGGGGAGGUAGUGACAAUAAAUAACAAUACGGGGUUCUUUAGGAUCUCGUAAUUGGAAUGAGUACAAUUUAAAUCUCUUAACGAGGAACAAUUGGAGGGCAAGUCUGGUGCCAGCAGCCGCGGUAAUUCCAGCUCCAAUAGCGUAUAUUAAAGUUGUUGCAGUUAAAAAGCUCGUAGUUGAAUUUCGGGGUUAGUAGGUUGGUCAUGCCUCUGGUAUGUACUGGUCUCACUGAUUCCUCCUUCCUGAUGAGCCGUAAUGCCAUUAAUUUGGUGUUGCGGGGAAUUUGGACUGUUACUUUGAAAAAAUUAGAGUGUUUAAAGCAAGCUAACGCUUGAAUACAUUAGCAUGGAAUAAUGAAAUAGGACGUUCGAUCCUAUUUUGUUGGUUUCUAGGAUUGACGUAAUGAUUAAUAGGGAUAGUUGGGGGCAUUAGUAUUCAAUUGUCAGAGGUGAAAUUCUUGGAUUUAUUGAAGCCUAACUACUGCGAAAGCAUUUGCCAAGGAUGUUUUCAUUAAUCAAGAACGAAAGUUAGGGGAUCGAAGACGAUCAGAUACCGUCGUAGUCUUAACCAUAAACUAUGCCGACUAGGGAUCGGAUGAUGUUAAUUUUUUAAUGACUCAUUCGGCGCCUUACGGGAAACCAAA
rnacentral:rRNA from 1 species